rnacentral:rRNA from 1 species
ACGGGAGGCAGCAGUGAGGAAUAUUGGUCAAUGGUCGGAAGACUGAACCAGCCAAGUAGCGUGAAGGAUGACUGCCCUAUGGGUUGUAAACUUCUUUUAUGCGGGAAUAAAAAAGUCCACGUGUGGGCUCUUGCAUGUACCGCAUGAAUAAGGAUCGGCUAAUUCCGUGCCAGCAGCCGCGGUAAUACGGAAGAUCCGAGCGUUAUCCGGAUUUAUUGGGUUUAAAGGGAGCGUAGGCGGGCCUUUAAGUCAGUGGUCAAAGCGUGUGGCUCAACCAUACCACGCCGUUGAUACUGGAGGCCUUGAGUGCACAUAAGGAUGGUGGAAUUCAUGGUGUAGCGGUGAAAUGCUUAGAUAUCAUGAAGAACUCCGAUUGCGAAGGCAGCCACCUGGGGUGUUACUGACGCUCAUGCUCGAAGGUGUGGGAAUCAAACAGGAUUAGAUACCCCUGGUA